UGCAGUCCGAACGAUGAUCCCAGCUUGCUGGGGGAUUAGUGGCGAACGGGUGAGUAACACGUGAGUAACCUGCCCUUAACUCUGGGAUAAGCCUGGGAAACUGGGUCUAAUACCGGAUAUGACUCCUCAUCGCAUGGUGGGGGGUGGAAAGCUUUAUUGUGGUUUUGGAUGGACUCGCGGCCUAUCAGCUUGUUGGUGAGGUAAUGGCUCACCAAGGCGACGACGGGUAGCCGGCCUGAGAGGGUGACCGGCCACACUGGGACUGAGACACGGCCCAGACUCCUACGGGAGGCAGCAGUGGGGAAUAUUGCACAAUGGGCGAAAGCCUGAUGCAGCGACGCCGCGUGAGGGAUGACGGCCUUCGGGUUGUAAACCUCUUUCAGUAGGGAAGAAGCGAAAGUGACGGUACCUGCAGAAGAAGCGCCGGCUAACUACGUGCCAGCAGCCGCGGUAAUACGUAGGGCGCAAGCGUUAUCCGGAAUUAUUGGGCGUAAAGAGCUCGUAGGCGGUUUGUCGCGUCUGCCGUGAAAGUCCGGGGCUCAACUCCGGAUCUGCGGUGGGUACGGGCAGACUAGAGUGAUGUAGGGGAGACUGGAAUUCCUGGUGUAACGGUGAAAUGCGCAGAUAUCAGGAGGAACACCGAUGGCGAAGGCAGGUCUCUGGGCAUUAACUGACGCUGAGGAGCGAAAGCAUGGGGAGCGAACAUGGAUUAGAUACCCUGGUAGUCCAUGCCGUAAACGUUGGGCACUAGGUGUGGGGGACAUUCCACGUUUUCCCGCGCCGUAACUAACGCAUUAA
rnacentral:rRNA from 1 species